rnacentral:misc_RNA from 1 species
AAAAUGCAAUAAGUAGUGUAAAUUGCAGAAUUUAGUAAAUUAUUAAAUCUUUAAACGCAUAUUGCGCCCUUUAGUAUUCCUUAGGGCAUGCCUAUUCAAGCAUUAUUUAAACCUUCAAGCCCUGCUUAGUAUUAGGUACCUAUCCCGCCCCUAUACGUAGACUUACCUUAAAUCUAUUAGCGGCCCCCGCAUAGCUACAAGCGCAGCAGAAACGCAAACUCGUAUACUAGGCUAGGCAGCUCCCAGAAGCUACAUUUACUAUCUUAACCUUAGAUUAGGUAGGGAUACCUGCUAAACUUAA